rnacentral:rRNA from 1 species
GACGAACGCUGGCGGCGUGCUUAACACAUGCCAGUCGAACGGAAAGGCCCUGCUUUUGUGGGGUGCUCGAGUGGCGAACGGGUGAGUAACACGUGAGUAACCUGCCCUUGACUUUGGGAUAACUUCAGGAAACUGGGGCUAAUACCGGAUAGGAGCUCCUGCUGCAUGGUGGGGGUUGGAAAGUUUCGGCGGUUGGGGAUGGACUCGCGGCUUAUCAGCUUGUUGGUGGGGUAGUGGCUUACCAAGGCUUUGACGGGUAGCCGGCCUGAGAGGGUGACCGGCGACAUUGGGACUGAGGUACGGACCAGACUCCUACGGGAGGCAGCAGUGGGGAAUAUUGCACAAUGGGCGGAAGCGUGAUGCAGCAACGCCGCGUGCGGGAUGACGGCCUUCGGGUUGUAAACCGCUUUCGCCUGUGACGAAGCGUGAGUGACGGUAAUGGGUAAAGAAGCACCGGCUAACUACGUG